GAUGAACGCUGGCGGCGUGCCUAAUACAUGCAAGUCGAGCGAACGGACGAGAAGCUUGCUUCUCUGAUGUUAGCGGCGGACGGGUGAGUAACACGUGGAUAACCUACCUAUAAGACUGGGAUAACUUCGGGAAACCGGAGCUAAUACCGGAUAAUAUUUUGAACCGCAUGGUUCAAAAGUGAAAGACGGUCUUGCUGUCACUUAUAGAUGGAUCCGCGCUGCAUUAGCUAGUUGGUAAGGUAACGGCUUACCAAGGCAACGAUGCAUAGCCGACCUGAGAGGGUGAGCGGGCAGACGGGCGCGUGGCAACGGACCCGACGCCUACGGGAGGCAGCAAGGGGGAAGCUUCGGCAAUGGUCGGAAGCCAGACAGAGCAACGCCGCGUGAGUGAUAAGGGUCUUGGGGUCGUGGAACUCUGUUAUUAGGGAAGAACAUAUAUGUAAGUAACUGUGCACAUCCUGACGGUACAUAAUCAGAAAGCCACGGCUAACUACGUG
rnacentral:rRNA from 1 species